GACGGAGGGCGCUAGCGUUGUUCGGAAUCACUGGGCGUAAAGGGCGCGUAGGCGGCCUGUUAAGUCGGGGGUGAAAGCCCGGGGCUCAACCCCGGAACGGCCUUCGAGACUGGCGGGCUCGAGAACGGGAGAGGAGGGUGGAAUAACCAGUGUAGAGGUGAAAUUCGUAGAUAGUGGGUGGAACACCGGUGGCGAAAGCGGCUCUCUGGUCCGGUUCUGACGCUGAGGCGCGAAAGCGUGGGGAGCAAACAGG
rnacentral:rRNA from 1 species